rnacentral:lncRNA from 10 species
UCUCACCUAGAGACCAUGAAACUCCAAAUAGUCAGGCACCAGAGCCUCAGAUGAUGGCUCCCUUUUGCCAGGGAUGCUUAGGUAGACCUCUGGGAGGAAUCCAACCAUCAUUUUCCCAAAAACAAUGCCCCCUGUUAGCAGGAAGUAACUAAGAAUGGCCAUUGUCCAUAAUCUAAUAGUAGUUAGAUGUGCCUCUUCAGAGGGAGAAUAUGAUAGGGAUGGGAGGCAGAGAAAUUCUAGGCAGAAAAGGAAAGGGUACCUGGCAAGGACCCCACCCUCAAGCUUGGAACCAUGGACCAAAGUGUGAACUUUACACGGCCGUUUUCCUGCUCAAAUAUUGCCUUUUCCAAAACCACCCCUGGCACACCCUGUCCCCAAUCCUGUACCCACUAAAACCCCAGGCUCUUCUGGCAGAGGGCAGAGAAGGGGAGAAGAGAAGCAGCAGCUGAACAUUGGAGAGAAACAGUUUGACUUCAGAGGGAUAGCUUAAUGGUGAGACUUCAGGGGAAUAAUACCUUCCUGCUCCAUCCCCUUUCCAGCUUCCCUUCCCACCGAGAGCCACUUCCAUCGGCAAUAAAAUCUUCUGCAUUCACCACCCUUCAAUUUGUUUGUGUGACCUGCUUUUUCCUGGAUGCCAAACAAGAGCUCGAGUGUCAUGGGGAUGGACACUAAAGGCAGUGAGACUGACCUUCUAUCCUUGCUGGUGGAGAGCAACCACCUCAUGUGAAAAGGCAGAGUGCUCACUGAGCUGCUUAACACUUAAGCCGUCCAUGAGUGACAAAGCUAAAGAGUACACUGUAACACAUGCCCUCUGGGGCUUUGUGGGGGGUCAUGGGUACUCUCCCCUAGAUUCUGCCAUAGGGCCCACAGAGUUUUGCUCCUGCCAGUGCCCAGAAACACUCGCCCUGGCUCAUGCACCCACUCACUGUCAGGCUUCUGAGCUCAAGCUAAGCCAUCAUAUCCCCUGUGACCUGCACGUACACAUCCAGAUGGUCGGUUCCUGCCUUAACUGAGGACAUUCCACCACAAAAUAAGUGAAAAUGGCCUGUUCCUGCCUUAACUGAUGACUGUCUUGUGAAAUUCCUUCUCCUGGCUCAUCCUGGCUCAAAAGCUCCCCUACUGAGCACCUGGUGACAUCCACUCUGCCCACCAGAGAACAACCCCCCUUUGACUGUAAUUUUCCUUUACCUACCCAAAUGGUAUAAAACGGCCCCACCCCUAUCUCCCUUUGCUGACUGUCUUUUCUGACUCAGCCCGCCUGCACCCAGGUGAAAUAAACAGCCAUGUUGCUCACAGAAAGCCUGUUUGGUGGUCUCUUCACACGGACGUGAAUGAAAUUUGGUGCCGUGACUCGGAUCGGGGGACCUCCCUUGGGAAAUCAAUCCCCGGUCCUCCUGCUCUUUGCUCCAUGAGAAAGAUCCACCUAUGACCUCAUGUCCUCAGAGCAACCAGCCCAAGAAGCAUUUCACCAAUUUCAAAUCCGGGUGGGCUCCACUUUAAUAUGACUGGUGCCUUUAUGAAAAGCAGAAAUUUGAACAAGAUAGAUAUGUACAGAAGGAAGAAAAUUCAACACACAAAGAACCAAGGAAGCUACAAGCCAAGAAACAGCUGAGGCUAUAAGGAACCUAGGAAAGAAGCAUGGAACACAUUUCCUCCAGAGCCUUCAGAAGGAACUAUCCCUGUUGAUACUUUGAUUUCAGACUUCUGGCCUCCAGAAUUGUGGGACAAUAACUUUCUGUUAUUUAAGUCACUCAGUUUGUGGCAUUGUGUUAUGACAGCCCAGGAAAUUAAUACCAAUGAGAAGAAUGUGACAAA